rnacentral:tRNA from 1 species
GGCCGGUUGGCCCAAUGGCAAGGCGUCUGACUACGAUUCAACGUGUAAUCAGGAGAUUCUGGGUUCGACCCCCAGGCUGGUCA